GACGAACGCUGGCGGCGUGCUUAACACAUGCAAGUCGAACGAUGAAGCCGGAGCUUGCUCUGGUGAAUUAGUGGCGAACGGGUGAGUAACACGUGAGUAACCUGCCCUUGACUCUGGGAUAACUGCGGGAAACUGUAGCUAAUACCGGAUACGACCCUCGGAGGCAUCUCCUGGGGGUGGAAAGAAUUUCGGUCAAGGAUGGACUCGCGGCCUAUCAGCUAGUUGGUGAGGUAAAGGCUCACCAAGGCGACGACGGGUAGCCGGCCUGAGAGGGUGACCGGCCGCACUGGGACUGAGACACGGCCCAGACGCCUACGUGAGGCAGCAGUGGGGAAUAUUGCACAAUGGACGCAAGCCUGAUGCAGCAACGCCGCGUGAGGGAUGACGGCCUUCGGGUUGUAAACCUCUUUUAGCAGGGAAGAAGCGAAAGUGACGGUACCUGCAGAAAAAGCACCGGCUAACUACGUGCCAGCAGCCGCCGUAA
rnacentral:rRNA from 1 species